rnacentral:rRNA from 1 species
GACGAACGCUGGCGGCGUGCCUAAUACAUGCAAGUCGAACGCAGUGGGGACGGGUGAGUAACACGUGGGUAACCUCCCAUCAGAGGGGAUAACACUUGGAAACAGGUGCUAAACCGAUACUGAUGGAUGGACCCGCGGUGCAUUGGCCGGUUGGUGAGGUAACGGCUCACCAAGGCCACGAUGCAUAGCCGACCUGAAGUGUGAGUCUGCCACACUGGUGCUGAAACACGGCCCAGACUCCUACAGGAGGCAGCAGUAGGGAAUCUUCCGCAAUGAGCGAAAGCCUGACUGAGCAAAGCCGCGUGAGUGAUGAAGUGCAUCGGAUCGUAACACUCUGUUAUUAAUGAAGCGGUACCUAAUCAGAAAGCCACGGCUAACUACGUGCCAGCAGCCGCGGUAAUUC